rnacentral:rRNA from 1 species
UCGAGCGAAUGAUGAAGAAGCUUGCUUCUUCUGAUUUAGCGGCGGACGGGUGAGUAACACGUGGGCAACCUACCUAGUAGAUUGGGAUAACUCCGGGAAACCGGGGCUAAUACCGAAUAAUCCAUUUUGUCACAUGGCAAAAUGCUGAAAGGCGGUUUCGGCUGUCACUACUAGAUGGGCCCGCGGUGCAUUAGCUAGUUGGUGGGGUAAUGGCCUACCAAGGCAACGAUGCAUAGCCGACCUGAGAGGGUGAUCGGCCACAUUGGGACUGAGACACGGCCCAAACUCCUACGGGAGGCAGCAGUAGGGAAUCUUCCACAAUGGACGAAAGUCUGAUGGAGCAACGCCGCGUGAGUGAUGAAGGUUUUCGGAUCGUAAAACUCUGUUGUAAGGGAAGAACAAGUACGUUAGUAACUGAACGUACCUUGACGGUACCUUAUUAGAAAGCCACGGCUAACUACGUGCCAGCAGCCGCGGUAAUACGUAGGUGGCAAGCGUUGUCCGGAUUUAUUGGGCGUAAAGCGCGCGCAGGUGGUUUCUUAAGUCUGAUGUGAAAGCCCACGGCUCAACCGUGGAGGGUCAUUGGAAACUGGGAGACUUGAGUGCAGAAGAGGAAAGUGGAAUUCCAAGUGUAGCGGUGAAAUGCGUAGAGAUUUGGAGGAACACCAGUGGCGAAGGCGACUUUCUGGUCUGUAACUGACACUGAGGCGCGAAAGCGUGGGGAGCAAACAGGAUUAGAUACCCUGGUAGUCCACGCCGUAAACGAUGAGUGCUAAGUGUUAGGGGGUUUCCGCCCCUUAGUGCUGCAGCUAACGCAUUAAGCACUCCGCCUGGGGAGUACGGCCG